rnacentral:rRNA from 1 species
CCUACGGGUGGCAGCAGUGGGGAAUAUUGGACAAUGGGCGAAAGCCUGAUCCAGCCAUGCCGCGUGUGUGAAGAAGGCCUUCGGGUUGUAAAGCACUUUCAGUGGGGAAGAAAGCCUUGGGGCUAAUACCCUCGAGGAAGGACAUCACCCACAGAAGAAGCACCGGCUAACUCCGUGCCAGCAGCCGCGGUAAUACGGAGGGUGCGAGCGUUAAUCGGAAUUACUGGGCGUAAAGCGCGCGUAGGCGGUCUGAUAAGCCGGUUGUGAAAGCCCCGGGCUCAACCUGGGAACGGCAUCCGGAGCUGUCAGGCUAGAGUGCAGGAGAGGAAGGUAGAAUUCCCGGUGUAGCGGUGAAAUGCGUAGAGAUCGGGAGGAAUACCAGUGGCGAAGGCGGCCUUCUGGACUGACACUGACGCUGAGGUGCGAAAGCGUGGGUAGCAAACAGGAUUAGAUACCCCUGUAGUC